rnacentral:rRNA from 1 species
ACUCAAAGGAAUUGACGGGGGCCCGCACAAGCGGCGGAGCAUGCGGAUUAAUUCGAUGCAACGCGAAGAACCUUACCUGGGUUUGACAUAGGAAGUAAUCCAUCAGAGAUGGUGGGUCCGUAAGGGCUUUCUACAGGUGGUGCAUGGCUGUCGUCAGCUCGUGUCGUGAGAUGUUGGGUUAAGUCCCGCAACGAGCGCAACCCUCGUUCCAUGUUGCCAGCAGCAUCUCGUCCUUGUGGCGGGGUGGCUGGGGACUCAUGGGAGACUGCCGGGGUCAACUCGGAGGAAGGUGGGGAUGACGUCAAGUCAUCAUGCCCCUUAUGUCCAGGGCUUCACGCAUGCUACAAUGGCCGGUACAAAGGGCUGCGAUCCCGUGAGGGGGAGCGAAUCCCAAAAAGCCGGUCUCAGUUCGGAUUGGGGUCUGCAACUCGACCCCAUGAAGUCGGAGUCGCUAGUAAUCGCAGAUCAGCAACGCUGCGGUGAAUACGUUCCCGGGCCUUGUACACACCGCCCGU